rnacentral:rRNA from 1 species
GCCGGAGGUUACUAGCUUUUAGGUGUUCGACUAAGCCAUGCAAGUCAUAUGUUCCUCGUGAACAUGGCAUACUGCUCAGUAACACGUGGAUAACCUGCCCUUGGGUCUGGGAUAACCCCGGGAAACUGGGGAUAAUACCGGAUAACGCAUAUGUGCUGGAAUGCUUUAUGCGUAAAACGGAUUCGUCCGCCCAAGGAUGGGUCUGCGGCCUAUCAGGUAGUAGUGGGUGUAGUGUACCUACUAGCCAACAACGGGUACGGGUUGUGAGAGCAAGAGCCCGGAGAUGGAUUCUGAGACAUGAAUCCAGGCCCUACGGGGCGCAGCAGGCGCGAAAACUUUACAAUGCGGGAAACCGUGAUAAGGGAACACCGAGUGCCAACAUCAUAUGCUGGCUGUCCAGAUGUGUAAACUACAUCUGUUAGCAAGGGCCGGGCAAGACCGGUGCCAGCCGCCGCGGUAACACCGGCGGCCCGAGUGGUGACCGUUAUUAUUGGGUCUAAAGGGCCCGUAGCCGGUUUGGUCAAUCCUCCGGGAAAUCUGAUAGUUUAACUGUUAUGCUUUCGGGGGAUACU